GGCCCCCAAUUUUUGAAAAAUAAUAAGAUCGAUGACAGUGUUGAAAAUCGACAGUUUUCACUAAAUUAAACUUUAAACUACCGAGCUGUGUCGUUUUUAAUAAUAACACAUUCUCAGUAUUGAUGUAAAAUGGAUUUAAAAUACGACCGGUACAGGCAUUUUGCGUUAAAAUUGCUGAAUUCGGCCAUUUCAGACUCAAAAUUCGCUUAUUAGCAACCCUUGCUUCAAGUAACAAUUUAUAACAGCUAUUUCAUUUGUUAAUUCUAUUUAAUAUUUUCUUAACCAGAAACUGAAGCAAGGGUUGUUAUUAAAUGAAUUUUGGAAAAAAUGAUAUUAUUUGUCUGGCCUUUCUCACGUAUAAGAGUGGCCUCCCUUGAAGCCAGGUGCUCGUUGCCAGGCAAUAUUAUAGGUGGCGCCGCUGUCAACAUGUGCAUGUGAAAACGAAAGUAGAUUGUUUAUCUAGGAAUUAUUACAACAUUUUACCCUUCUACGUUGAAUUUUUAAGAUAUAAAAGUAUGAAUAUUUAGAUGACUAUUUAGAUCUAGUUACCUUCAACUGGCCAGUGGCCAAAAGGGAGUAUUUCUGUGUGUCUUGAAGCAUUGAAUGCCCCAAAACAACCAGUAUGAUAAGAAGACCAGAGUAUACAGCUUCCCAAAAUGUUGAAAGACUAAGCUGAAUUUCUAUGGACUUGUAAGUAUUUUGAAUGUUUGAUUUCUCUUUCUUUUAACCUUAUGAUUGAAUAUUUCAUUUCAAUUAGUCAUGGCACUUUUUCUAGUAAUUUGCAUCUACAUUUCAACAUGUUUACACAUUUUGUUUACACAGAAAGAUAUUUUUUAAUUCUUUCAUUCUAUGUAUACUAUCUAGGUUGAAAACAGCCACAGACAUUGGAGGUGCAUGCUGGAGCAUCAGACAUUACAUACUUGGAAUAAAUAAUUGCACAAUACACAUUUACUGAGGAGUGACUAAUGUUUAUGUUAAAGUGCAAUAUCUAUAUUUGUAACAUUUACUUGGGGGUAAUACAGUGUUGAAACAGACUACCAGUGUUACAUUUCAAUCUAAGUUACAGUGUGGAUGCUAAUUCUAAAUUCUUGAUAAUCAAGUGUUUUUAAUAACUUAUGAAUACUAAUUAUUUAUCAAACUGUUUAAUUUAUCACAUUCCUACAUCAUUAUUUUAUAUAAAAUGCUUGUAGUUAUAUAAUAUAUGUCAGGUAAAAUGGUAAUAAAUUAUGUUUCUGUGUAAAUAUCUUGCUUUUUUAAAAAUGAAAAUGAUACAUUCAGUGGCCAUCAUCUGUCAAAAAGUUAUUAUAAAUGCCUCAAAACUGAUGAAAAGUUAACUUUUCACAAGUUCAUGGAAUAGCAUACUAUCCAUAACAUUGUAUAGUUUUCCUAACCUGUAUCUGGGGUCAUCAUAAAUUAAUUGCUAGAGUAAAUUUUCUUCACAAGGGAAAGGAAGUUUUUUAUUAAUUUAUUUUUUAUUUCAGAUAUUUUAUUUUUGCUUUAAUGAGGAUUUAAAGAGAAAAACUGACAUAAUUAUAAUAGUUAUUUUUGUCAGAUGGAUUUGAUUAUAAGCAAUAAUAACUGAAAGUUAAUAAAUUAUAACAUUCUUUAUAGAAAUAUUCCAUAGAUGAUCUUGCAAACUAAAAAUAGUAAGGGGAGGCAUAAAUAUAAUGGGAGUGGA